rnacentral:rRNA from 1 species
AUACGUAGGUGGCAAGCGUUGUCCGGAAUUACUGGGUGUAAAGGGAGCGCAGGCGGGACAGCAAGUUGGAUGUGAAAUACCGCAGCUCAACUGCGGAGCUGCAUCCAAAACUGUUGUUCUUGAGUGGAGUAGAGGUAGGCGGAAUUCCGAGUGUAGCGGUGAAAUGCGUAGAUAUUCGGAGGAACACCAGUGGCGAAGGCGGCCUACUGGGCUCUUACUGACGCUGAGGCUCGAAAGUGUGGGGAGCAAACAGGAUUAGAUACCCUGGUAGUCCACACUGUAAACGAUGAUUGCUAGGUGUGGGGGGUCUGACCCCUUCCGUGCCGGAGUUAACGCAAUAAGCAAUCCACCUGGGGAGCACGGCCGCAAGGUUGAAACUCAAAGGAAUCGACGGGG